rnacentral:rRNA from 1 species
AAAUUGAAGAGUUUGAUCAUGGCUCAGAUUGAACGCUGGCGGCAGGCCUAACACAUGCAAGUCGAACGGUAACAGAAAGCAGCUUGCUGCUUCGCUGACGAGUGGCGGACGGGUGAGUAAUGUCUGGGAAACUGCCUGAUGGAGGGGGAUAACUACUGGAAACGGUAGCUAAUACCGCAUAAUGUCGCAAGACCAAAGAGGGGGACCUUCGGGCCUCUUGCCAUCGGAUGUGCCCAGAUGGGAUUAGCUUGUUGGUGGGGUAACGGCUCACCAAGGCGACGAUCCCUAGCUGGUCUGAGAGGAUGACCAGCCACACUGGAACUGAGACACGGUCCAGACUCCUACGGGAGGCAGCAGUGGGGAAUAUUGCACAAUGGGCGCAAGCCUGAUGCAGCCAUGCCGCGUGUAUGAAGAAGGCCUUCGGGUUGUAAAGUACUUUCAGCGGGGAGGAAGGGAGUAAAGUUAAUACCUUUGCUCAUUGACGUUACCCGCAGAAGAAGCACCGGCUAACUCCGUGCCAGCAGCCGCGGUAAUACGGAGGGUGCAAGCGUUAAUCGGAAUUACUGGGCGUAAAGCGCACGCAGGCGGUUUGUUAAGUCAGAUGUGAAAUCCCCGGGCUCAACCUGGGAACUGCAUCUGAUACUGGCAAGCUUGAGUCUCGUAGAGGGGGGUAGAAUUCCAGGUGUAGCGGUGAAAUGCGUAGAGAUCUGGAGGAAUACCGGUGGCGAAGGCGGCCCCCUGGACGAAGACUGACGCUCAGGUGCGAAAGCGUGGGGAGCAAACAGGAUUAGAUACCCUGGUAGUCCACGCCGUAAACGAUGUCGACUUGGAGGUUGUGCCCUUGAGGCGUGGCUUCCGGAGCUAACGCGUUAAGUCGACCGCCUGGGGAGUACGGCCGCAAGGUUAAAACUCAAAUGAAUUGACGGGGGCCCGCACAAGCGGUGGAGCAUGUGGUUUAAUUCGAUGCAACGCGAAGAACCUUACCUGGUCUUGACAUCCACAGAACUUUCCAGAGAUGAGAUUGUGCCUUCGGGAACUGUGAGACAGGUGCUGCAUGGCUGUCGUCAGCUCGUGUUGUGAAAUGUUGGGUUAAGUCCCGCAACGAGCGCAACCCUUAUCCUUUGUUGCCAGCGGUCCGGCCGGGAACUCAAAGGAGACUGCCAGUGAUAAACUGGAGGAAGGUGGGGAUGACGUCAAGUCAUCAUGGCCCUUACGACCAGGGCUACACACGUGCUACAAUGGCGCAUACAAAGAGAAGCGACCUCGCGAGAGCAAGCGGACCUCAUAAAGUGCGUCGUAGUCCGGAUUGGAGUCUGCAACUCGACUCCAUGAAGUCGGAAUCGCUAGUAAUCGUGGAUCAGAAUGCCACGGUGAAUACGUUCCCGGGCCUUGUACACACCGCCCGUCACACCAUGGGAGUGGGUUGCAAAAGAAGUAGGUAGCUUAACCUUCGGGAGGGCGCUUACCACUUUGUGAUUCAUGACUGGGGUGAAGUCGUAACAAGGUAACCGUAGGGGAACCUGCGGUUGGAUCACCUCCUUACCUUAAAGAAGC